CAUUUCUUCAUUUAUCAAGUAAACAAAAUCUCUUUCCUUCUUACAUUUAAAGGUCUUCUAUCCUUAAAUUGUUCUCCUACAAGAACACAGUGACGAAUCUAGCUUGAAAUACUUAAACAUCAAAAUAAAAUAAAACCAAACAUGUAACAACAUUGAUCAAGUAAGGAAUAAGAUGCCCUUUGAUAGCAAAUUUUUAGAUUAAAUUAGAAGAACCUCAUUUGAAGGACCGUACAGCAACUCCGACCAGAAUCCACGGCCGAGCUCAAACCACGACCUCGACUGAACUUGUAUGUUUUGUGGCGAUUCGGGGCUGAUUUGGGGUAUUUUGGACCUGUUUUUCAGCAGCUGCGCAGCUAGUUUUGCUGCAUUUCAGAGCAAAUUUUCAGCUGCAUUUUUGGGCUUUUAUCGGAGCUUUAGGUGGUGUUAAUGGGGGUGAGUUUGGCAUCUGUUUUCUUGGCUAUUUUUGAGCUGAAUUUCAGCUGGACCUUAUGCUAUUUAGGGAGGAAGAAGGGGCUGUUUUGGUGCUGGCUAGUGGUAGAUUAAGGUUAGGUUUUAGCAGUGUUUUUGGCUACUAAUUUGGGUGCCUUUGGGAUUGUUUGGUGGUGAACUUUACAUGGAUUCCAUAAUGAUUUCAUGGAGCUUUUAUAGCUGAAAGUUCUCAAGGAAGAGAGUAUUUUUAGAGUAGAGGUUGCUGCUGUUUUUUGUCCUAGGAAUUUUUUAGGUUUUUUUUUUCUUUAUGUGUGUAUAUAUAUAAGUGUAGGUAUACGGAUUAAUAUGUGAAAGAGAUAAGAAUUGAGAGUGCGAUUGUCUAGGAUCGGUGUUAUUGGUAGGCAUAGGUACAAAAGUGCAUGUGAAUUAGAUUAUAAGAUAGAAUCUUCUGUCGUGACAAUUUUACAUUGGUUCUUUUUUUCUUU
rnacentral:lncRNA from 1 species